GAUGAACGCUGGCGGCGUGCCUAACACAUGCAAGUCGAACGGAGUUAUAUUAUAGAAGCCUUCGGGAAGAAGUAAAAUAACUUAGUGGCGGACGGGUGAGUAACGCGUGGGCAACCUGCCCUAUACCGGGGGAUAGCAGUUGGAAACGACUGAUAAUGCCGCAUAAGCGCACAGUACCGCAUGGUACAGUGUGAAAAUUUCCGGAGGUAUAGGAUGGGCCCGCGUCAGAUUAGCCAGUUGGCAGGGUAACGGCCUACCAAAGCAACGAUCUGUAGCCGGCCUGAGAGGGCGGACGGCUACAUUGGGACUGAGACACGGCCCAAACUCCUACGGGAGGCAGCAGUGGGGGAUAUUGCACAAUGGGGGAAACCCUGAUGCAGCGACGCCGCGUGAGUGAAGAAGUAUUUCGGUAUGUAAAGCUCUAUCAGCAGGGAAGAAAGACCCGCAAGGGGGAUGACGGUACCUGAAUAAGAAGCCCCGGCUAACUACGUGCCAGCCGCCGCAGUAA
rnacentral:rRNA from 1 species